UNAAAGAGAUAGGAGUUGAACCUACGUCUAAGGGAUCAA
rnacentral:tRNA from 1 species